ACCGAAAUUGAUUUGGGGAAGAGAAAGAUACAAAUUGUUUCGCCUCUUAUCCCUCUCCAAAUCACAUCCACAUCAAAACCACCUUCACCACCGUUCUCCUCAUAUCUUUCCACAAUCUAAAACUCUCCACCACCGUGAGACAACAACUCCGGCCAAGACAACAACAAAGUCCUUCUAACCCUAACAGAAACCCCAACCUUCUCUCUAUCUCCAUAACUUCCUCUCUCUCAUUUCCAGAAAGAUUUGCUUCAACCCUGCAACAUUUUAAGACAAAGAAGCAUGGUGGUCGGAAAACUUUACCCCUCAGCGGAGUAGAUGGGAGAGCGGCGACUGUGCACUCAAACUUAAAUCUGUUUGGUUUAACGAAAAGCUCACGUGAUAGAAAUCUCAAAUAUGGCUUAUUCCAUCUACUUGGAGGCACGACGGCCGGAGGCAGACUGCGAAUGGGCUGCCGGUGGUUGGAUUGAAACAACGAUCUAAUUGUCUCAUUAGAAAGGCUGGAGGACGAGGAGUACGGAAAAAGUCAUUGAUUCUUGGUUGGAGUUCCUCAUUGUCGGAGAAGAUGGUGAAGGUCGCCGGCGGCGGCUAGGGUUUUUAGAAGAAGUGACGUCGGCUGAUGAUGGAAAGAAUGUGGUAAUGAAAGGCUUGAAACAUGGUGCUUGUGAUUAUUUGAUAAGCCGGUGUGAAUUGAGGCUAUGAAGAAUAUAUUGCAGCAUGUGGUUAGUACUACUUUCUCAUUUGUUAUGUUGUGGCACAAAGCAAGCGACACAUAGACUAAGAAUUGACGUCAUCGUAAGACAUAUUUUUUGAUUUUAUUUCAGCAGCUGGUACUCAUUUGGAUCUUUUUUUUACAAGGAUUUUUGCUAAUGUAAAACAGGAUGUAUCUUACAGACACACCAUGAUUGAGUUGGGUUCAGUUUUUAUCACACCAUAACCAAUCUUACAGCAACAUACAUUUAAGUUCUAAUAUAUCAUACAACAACACCAUGAUUGAGUUUGACCGAAGUGAAAGAAGUCCAAUAACAAGGAAUCUGGUGUGCGUUAUUUUGUUAUUGCCAACUCAAGUGGGAUUCGUUCAUGGGUUGCGACAGGAAGAAGAGGUUUGUUCCCGCAUCAAAACAUCACAAGUGUAAAACAUGCUUAUAUUGUAGUAGUAUAUGUUUUAAUGCUUCUUUUCUACGUACUAAUAAUAAAUGGUUAUGUUGUUGUAUUGCUAUUCAGGAGAAUUGUAUUUGGCUUUCUUCAAUCUGAGUGAACAAUAAAUGACGAUAGAAACAAUGACAUUAGAUUUGGAUAGGUUUUUCCCUUACAGAGGUUCCAUAUAUACAUGUCAAGGUAUUGAAGUAUGGAUUGGACCAAAAACUAUACGAAGGGUUUCCGUACAUGUCAAGGUACUGAAGUAUGGACUGGACCGAAAAUUGUACGAAGGGAAACGCAAGGGAUAAUAGCAGCAGACGUUAGAGUUAAUGGAUGUGCAAUAUUUUUACUUGCCAAUAUUUUGGCUUUCUAUUAUUCAUUUAUUAUUCAAAAGAAAAACAAAAGAUAAAUUCAUGAAUAACAUCUCAUUGUUGAGUUUUUUUUAUACACUUUUCUGAUCUGAGAUGUUAAUUUGGUGUGGUGCUGUAAGUGUUGGAUCCCACCAAAGUAUGUAAUGGAAUAGUUGUUUUAUUUUUUAUUAAUAAAAUUAUGACUUA